rnacentral:rRNA from 1 species
UUGGAGGGCAGUCUGGUGCCAGCAGCCGCGGUAAUUCCAGCUCCAAUAGCGUAUAUUAAAGUUGUUGCAGUUAAAAAGCUCGUAGUUGAACUUCGGGGUUUACCCAUCGGUCAGGCUUAAUUGUCUGUACUGGUGAGAUAAAUCUCUACCUUCUGAGGAACUUUCAUGCCAUUUAUUUGGUGUGAUUGGAAAUCAGGACUAUUACUUUGAAAAAAUUAGAGUGUUUAAAGCAGGCUAACGUCUGAAUAUAUUAGCAUGGAAUAAUGAAAUAGGACGGCUUGGUUCUAUUUCGUUGGUUUCUAGGAUCACCGUAAUGAUUAAUAGGGAUAGUUGGGGGCAUUAGUAUUCAAUUGUCAGAGGUGAAAUUCUUGGAUUUAUUGAAGACUAACUACUGCGAAAGCAUUUGCCAAGGAUGUUUUCAUUAAUCAAGAACGAAAGUUAGGGGAUCGAAGACGAUCAGAUACCGUCGUAGUCUUAACCAUAAACUAUGCCGACUAGGGAUCGGACGAAGUUAAUUUUAUAAUGACGCGUUCGGCGCCUUACGGGAAAC